rnacentral:rRNA from 1 species
GGAAAACUCACCAGGUCAGGACACGGUAAGGAUUGACGGACUGAAGGCUCUUUCUCGAUUCCGUGGAAAGUGGUGCAUGGCCGUUUUUGGUUGGUGGAUCGAUCCGUCUGGUUAAUUCCGUUAACGAACGAGACCUCGGCACUCCGAAUAGCGCGGCGGACGUCGCGGCCUCCGGGCCGUCUUCCGCACGAGCUUCUUAGAGGGACCGUCCCCCGCCGGGGAAGGAGGUGCGAGGCAACGACAGGUCUGUGAUGCCCUUAGAUGUUCUGGGCCGCACGCGCAUUACACUGACGCGUCCAACGGGUGACUCCCGACCCGAAGGGGCCGGGGAAUCCGCAAGGCGCGUCGUGAUGGGGAUUGAACGUUGCAAUUGUUGUUCACGAACGAGGAAUUCCUAGUAGGCGCGGGUCAUCAACCCGCGCCGAUACGUCCUGCCCUUUGUACACACCGC